rnacentral:rRNA from 1 species
UUCGAGUGGCGGACGGGUGAGUAACGCGUGGGUAACCUGCCUUACACAGGGGGAUAACACCUGGAAACAGGUGCUAAUACCGCAUAAGCGCACAGGGCCGCAUGGCCCGGUGUGAAAAACUCCGGUGGUGUAAGAUGGACCCGCGUCUGAUUAGCUUGUUGGCGGGGUAGGGGCCCGCCAAGGCGACGAUCAGUAGCCGGCCUGAGAGGGUGGACGGCCACAUUGGGACUGAGACACGGCCCAAACUCCUACGGGAGGCAGCAG